GGAACGCAAGAGCGGAUUCAGUCUACAGAGCAAUUAGACCGGGUCUAGCCCGCUGCUAGAUGCACUGUAAUUUUCGGCUAAAAUCCCUACCACGAGGACCGUGAUCCAUUGAGUCGCCGAGGACUGUACGCACGAUAAUGAUACGUGGGUGUUACAACAACAUUGCGAUCAACAAACUGUACGAACGAUCGUGCGAUUUUAAAAAUAAUUGAACGACCCUGCUGCGUAAAAUGGGUGCCACUGUGGGACUGUUACUGUUGACUCUUUUGUGUGCCAGUGUCAGUGGAGUGCAAGGCGAGUGCAGACACGUGAAGAACGACGACAUGAUAGAGUACUCAUGCGAGGGCGGUCAGCUCACCGAUUUGGACGGCCUUCCGGACUCCACUGGAAAGAUUCGCAUCACGAACAUGCCAAUAUCACGGAUAACCAGGAAUACGUUCUCAAGGUUUGGCUCCGAGCUUUGGGUCCUCGCCAUCUCCCACUGCGGUAUAGUAGACAUCGAGCCAGGUGCUUUCGAGCACCUGAUAAAUCUCCAGCAGCUGAGCUUGGACAACAACUACUUGACCGCCGUCGAGGAGUCCUGGUUCAGAGGUUUGAAUGACUUAACGUUCUUAGACCUGAAUUUCAACAACAUACACACCAUCGAGGACGGUGUGUUCAAGAAUCUACCUAGUCUCAUAGACCUGAGGCUCUCUGGUAACCGUUUGGAAUGCUUGAACCUCAGCGAUAUGGCUCACUUGAAACUGCAGAGGAUGUUCCUCAGCGAGAAUUCAGAGUUUAAGUGUCCCAAUGCGGUGAGCAGCUACCUUGAAGAUCGUGGGGUGACGUUCGAAAGAGACCCCGAGUGGAAUAAGAUUCCCAAUGACUUGGUCCCCGUGGAAACUCCACUCGAGUACGAAGACGUGUACGAUGAGACCACUUCGGUUCCAACGACGCAGCUACCUAUGCAUCGAGAAAGGCUGCAUCCCGCUUCAAGACCUUCUACGCCUCGUCCCAUGGAAUCUACCCCAACGUACCCGCCACCGUGGUUCUACACUACCGAAGACGUUGUUUAUCAUCCAAUGCGCGUCACUCCCGAUUGGAGAACUACGCAAAGACCAUCAACGAUCGGCUACGAGGACACCCAGUCGUUCACAACAACGAUGUCACCUUACGACAUCGCGAGGGGAGUCCAUGUUCCUCCUAGAGUUAUACCUGUUCAAACAACCACGGAUACGCUUGACAUAAACAAGCUUGACAACUUGGACCUGACAGUCCUAGGACCUCGACCCAGUUUUCCAGAAUCCACCAACGCCAGGCCUGAAUUCCCGAUUUAUACGGGCAGCGAUCCGUUCCCAUUGGCACCUGGCCCGAAUGAUCGUCAUGAAACUCCACCUUCCGUGGAUUCCAACGUCGACCGCACCGCUGACCCGCCUGAAGUCGCCUGGCCGGACAGGAACACCUGGGAUAGGGAGUAUCCACCCGCUGUGGAUAAUAGAUUACAAGGUCAGGAAACGGGAUACUCAGGUCCUCCAGAGUAUAGGGUCCCGCCAACCGUCGCUCCACCGUCUCCAACUCACGUUGUUAGACCUCAGCAGCCAGAAGUGCCAGAAACGGUUCGACCAGCUUGGCCAGAAGUCCCAGAAACGGUUCAACCAGGUUGGCCAGAAGUGCCAGAAACGGUUCAACCAGCUUGGCCAGAAGUCCCAGAAACGGUUCAACCAGGUUGGCCAAAAGUGCCAGAAACGGUUCGACCAGGUUGGCCAGAAGUCCCAGAAACGGUUCAACCAGGUUGGCCAGAAGUCCCAGAAACGGUUCAACCAGGUUGGCCAGAGAUCAUCCAGACACCGUAUUACGAGCACCCGAUUACUGUUCAUACGCCACCUGUAGAGAGCCUUCCACCUGGCCAAGUCGCAGGACUCCCGCCAAUCGAGACAACCACCGAUAAACCGUUACCCAAUUGCGGUCGUAGGAAUCUGUCUUCGACGAUGGAACGAUCGUUCGUUGUAAUAUUCAUCUCUGUUCUCCUGGUCUACGUGGGAGACGUCCUUGUGGAGGGAUUUUAGCUAAAAAUUUCUUAUGUUCAUAUUAACGACUAUACUUCAUCGACGAAACACGCUCGUUAACGCGAGCAUGUACGGGCAUUUACGUUUAGCGUUGUAACACGAAUCGCGAUGCUAAUGGAACGUUGACCGACGCCUGUUUGAAACGAUUAAUCGCGACGGGAAUCCGAGUGGGUGAUUGAAGUGCAGCUGGUUUUAACGUUUUCCCUUUGAUCGUGAACCAAUCAUCAUUGGUUCGUCGGAUACCGCAGAGCCUGCAGUAUUCAUAGCUGGGCCAAAGAAGCACAAGAAGCCGAACGUCUUGAAAAGAUGCUGAAAAUCGAAAACGAGGAAAACGCAGCUGCCAACAAUCUAGCACUGGCGAUACAGAGCCGCAAUCAAGCACGAGCGAGUCAGUCCGACAAGUUCUUCGAU